CACUACUUGAAAAAUAAGUAAUUGAAAUUUGGGAUCACGGACAUUUUGAAAGCAAUUUGAAUCUAGUGGAUCAAGAUCAGUUUUGACAAAGCUACAAAUCACUCUUUGGUCUUUAUGAAUUCAAUAUGCAUUUUUAAAAACAAACCACCAGUAUUCCUCUAAAGAGUCUGUAUCUCUCCAGCAACUGUUAAAAUAACUUGUUGGGCCACUUUAAAACUAAUUAACAAAGCCUCAUCCAGGAAUAUUAAGGCAGUUAAGACACAAUGUGCCAGCGGCUGUCAGAUGAGUGU
rnacentral:lncRNA from 1 species